ACGAACGCUGGCGGCGUGCCUCAUACAUGCAAGUAGCACGCUGAAGAGAGGAGCUUGCUCUUCUUGGAUGAGUUGCGAACGGGUGAGUAACGCGUAGGUAACCUGCCUGGUAGCGGGGGAUAACUAUUGGAAACGAUAGCUAAUACCGCAUAAAAUGGAUUAUCGCAUGAUAAUCCAUUGAAAGGUGCAAAUGCAUCACUACCAGAUGGACCUGCGUUGUAUUAGCUAGUUGGUGGGGUAACGGCUCACCAAGGCGACGAUACAUAGCCGACCUGAGAGGGUGAUCGGCCACACUGGGACUGAGACACGGCCCAGACUCCUACGGGAGGCAGCAGUAGGGAAUCUUCGGCAAUGGACGGAAGUCUGACCGAGCAACGCCGCGUGAGUGAAGAAGGUUUUCGGAUCGUAAAGCUCUGUUGUAAGAGAAGAACGAGUGUGAGAGUGGAAAGUUCACACUGUGACGGUAUCUUACCAGAAAGGGACGGCUAACUACGUG
rnacentral:rRNA from 1 species